UUUCCAACUUGAUAAACUCAUAAUUUCCCACCCUACCACCCAAUUUCCACUAGCUGUUAACUCCAAGCGGGUAAUGAGGAAAAUUUAAAUUCUGCUAAGAAUAGCACUUUAAAAAAUCCAUUCUAGGCCGGGCACGGUGGUUCACACCUGUAAUAAUCCCAGCACAUUGGGAGGCUGAGUCCGGCGGAUCACCCGAGGUGUUCAAGACCAGCCUGACCAACAUGGAGAAACCACUUCUCUACUAAAAAUACAAAAUUAGCCAGGUAUCAUGGUGCACGCCUGUAAUCCCAGCUAUUUGGGAGGCUGAGGCAGGAGAACUGCUUGAAUCCGGGAGGGAGGCGGAG
rnacentral:lncRNA from 1 species